GGUAUAGCUCAGUGGUGGAGCGCAUGCUUAGCACAUGUGAGGGCCUGGGUUCAACCCCCAGUAAACCA
rnacentral:tRNA from 1 species